rnacentral:rRNA from 1 species
CCCUUAGAUGUUCUGGGCCGCACGCGCGCUACACUGACGGAGGCAGCGAGCAUGUCCUUCGCCGAGAGGUGUGGGGAAUCUUGUGAGUCUCCGUCGUGCUGGGGAUAGAUGGUUGCAAUUGUCGAUCUUGAACGAGGAAUUCCUAGUAAGCGCGAGUCAUCAGCUCGCGCUGAUUACGUCCCUGCCCUUUGUACACACCGCCCGUCGCUACUACCGAUUGAAUCGUUUAGCGAGAAUUUUGGAUCGGAGCCCUGGUGGGCAGCGAUGUCCGCCUGGGAUUUACCGAGAAAUCAUUCCAGCUUGCCGAUUUAGAGGAAGUAAAAGUCGUANCA